GUAAACUCUCUGUUGUAACACCACAAUAAUGUUUUCCUUUCUCUGUUUGGCUUCCUCAUUUCCUCAUUUCCUGUUUAUAUAUUUUUAAAAGCUUCCAAAGAGAAUUCUCUGAGUUUGCAGUUUGCUCUUUUUGAGAUUGCGCAACAGAGUUACGACACUGAACUCAACCGUUGAAUUUGUUUUUUACGAGUGGCUUGCAAAACAGGAAUUUCAGGGUGGUGAUUAUAACAACAUUUAGAAAAUCUAGAGAGAGAAAAUGUUUUGCAGUUUUUGCAGUCUGUGGUUCCAUACCCUCGACCAACAACAAAAUGAGGAUAAUUAUUACUGCUGUUACUCUUCUGGUUUGUGUGGAAUUUUAGAACUGCAACCAUAACAAAGACAGUGAAGUCCGCUGUUUGAUCAGGAUUGCCUUAGACACGAACACCUGAUCCAGGGGCGUUUCUAGGAUUUGAAAACAUCUGGGGCUGGUGGCAAAACAUCUGGGGCUACGAACGCAGCUGGUGGUUUAGGGUUGGACUUGGAACCCUUUCAGCAGUUUCAGUAAUGUUAUGCAGCUCAGUUGUAACAGAGCUGCAAACACACAAAAAGUAAAGCAGAACAUCUAUAUUUUUUUUUCUGAACUGUGGAUUACCAUGCUGAUUGGAUGAAGAAAACUGUGGCCUGCACUUUUCUGAAAAUGGACACCAGCUCGAAACCAGGAGACGUUUUGGAUAUGUUGAAGCAGAAGUGAUACUGGCUGUGCGUCGCUGCAGUCAUCAAAAGUCAUCUGCCUAAGGCAGUGAUGCAUUGUAGUUUAUAUACAUUUAGUAGAUGGGCCUUAGAGAUACUGACACUCUGUCAGAG